rnacentral:rRNA from 1 species
CCCUUAGAUGUCCUGGGCCGCACGCGCGCUACACUGACAUGUUCAACAAGUUUCUCCUAGUUCGACAGGACUGGGAAAUCUUUGAACGCUGGUCGUGAUGGGGAUAGACUUUUGCAAUUUUUGGUCUUCAACGAGGAAUUCCUAGUAAACGCAAGUCAUCAACUUGCAUUGAUUACGUCCCUGCCCUUUGUACACACCGCCCGUCGCACCUACCGAUUGAAUGGUCCGGUGAAGCCUCCGGAUUGGCGCGCACCUCGGUGCCGCCGAGAAGUUGGCUAAACCUUACCAUUUAGAGGAAGGUGAAGUCGUAACA